rnacentral:rRNA from 1 species
UACAGAGGGUGCGAGCGUUAAUCGGAUUUACUGGGCGUAAAGGGCGCGUAGGCGGCCAAGCAAGUCAGGGGUGAAAUCCCUCGGCUCAACCGAGGAAUUGCCUCUGAAACUGCAUGGCUUGAGACCGGGAGAGGGUGGUGGAAUUCCCAGUGUAGCGGUGAAAUGCGUAGAUAUUGGGAGGAACACCGGUGGCGAAGGCGGCCACCUGGACCGGUUCUGACGCUGAGGCGCGAAAGUGUGGGGAGCAAACAGGAUUAGAAACCCGUGUAGU